rnacentral:rRNA from 1 species
CCCUUAGAUGUUCUGGGCCGCACGCGCGCUACAAUGAUGAAUUCAACGAGUUUAUAACCUUGGUUGAAAAGCCUGGGUAAUCUUUUGAACUUUCGUCGUGAUGGGGCUAGACCCUUGCAAUUAUUGGUCUCCAACGAGGAAUUCCUAGUAAACGCAAGUCAUCAGCUUGCAUUGAUUACGUCCCUGCCCUUUGUACACACCGCCCGUCGCACCUACCGAUUGAAUGGUCCGGUGAAAUCUUCGGAUUGAGACUUUGAUUUCUUCACGGAAAACGCUGUUUUAAAAAGUUGAUUAAACCUUACCAUUUAGAGGAAGGUGAANUCGUAACA